AUACAUAUAUAUACAUAAAUAGGAUUAUUAUAAUUGGUAUUGGUUUAUGGGUUUCGGAAUUGGUUUGGCUGGACAUUGCAUAGUUGGUCAUGGUUUUGUUGGUCUCGGAUAUAUACCUAUCCCAAGGUCACCAUAUGGUUGGCUAUGCUAUCUUGUUAUAUGUUAAGAUUUUAGCCGACUUAAGGUUUGUAUUUGGAGGUUGGGUUGGGUAACGGGGCUGGUUCCCUGUCCUGGUUAGUCUUGGAAUUUCCCACUACGACAAAGCCCUGGUUCAGGUCGUGUCAACAUUGGC
rnacentral:lncRNA from 1 species